ACUCCUACGGGAGGCAGCAGUGGGGAAUUUUGGACAAUGGGGGAAACCCUGAUCCAGCCAUCCCGCGUGUGCGAUGAAGGCCUUCGGGUUGUAAAGCACUUUUGGCAGGAAAGAAACGUCAUGGGCUAAUACCCCGUGAAACUGACGGUAC
rnacentral:rRNA from 1 species